rnacentral:rRNA from 1 species
UACGUAGGGUGCUAGCGUUGUUCGGAAUCAUUGGGCGUAAAGCGCGUGUAGGUGGUUAUGUAAGUCGGAUGUGAAAUCCCUGGGCUCAACCGAGGAAGUGCAUUCGAAACUACAUAGCUAGAGGACAGUAGAGGAAGGUGGAAUUCCAAGUGUAGAGGUGAAAUUCGUAGAUAUUUGGAGGAAUACCGGUGGCGAAGGCGGCCUUCUGGGCUGGCCCUGACACUGAGACGCGAAAGCGUGGGUAGCAAACAGG